rnacentral:rRNA from 1 species
UACGUAGGGGGCUAGCGUUGUCCGGAUUUAUUGGGCGUAAAGAGCGUGUAGGCGGCCAGGUAGGUCUGCUGUGAAAACUCGAGGCUCAACCUCGAGACGUCGGCGGAAACCAUCUGGCUAGAGUCCGGAAGAGGAGAGUGGAAUUUACGGUGUAGCGGUGAAAUGCGUAGAUAUCGUAAGGAAGACCAGUGGCGAAGGCGGGUCUCUGGACAGUUCCUGACGCUGAGGCACGAAGGUCAGGGGAGCAAACGGG